rnacentral:rRNA from 1 species
GGAUUAGAUACCCUGGUAGUCCACGCUGUAAACGAUGGAUACUAGGUGUAGGAGGUAUCGACCCCUUCUGUGCCGGAGUUAACACAAUAAGUAUCCCACCUGGGGAGUACGACCGCAAGGUUGAAACUCAAAGGAAUUGACGGGGGCUCACACAAGCGGUGGAGCAUGUUGCUUAAUUCGAAGCAACGCGAAGAACCUUACCUGGGCUUGACAUGCACGGAUUAGCUCUUGGAAACAUGAGUGACGCCCUCGGGUGGAACGUGCACAGGUGCUGCACGGCUGUCGUCAGCUCGUGUUG